UUCCAGCCAAUGGGCGAAAGCCUGACCCGCCAACGCCGCGUGAGGGAUGAAGUAUUUCGGUAUGUAAACCUCGAAAGAAUGGGAAGAAUAAAUGGGGGUACCAUUUAUAAGCUCCGGCUAACUACGUGCCAGCAGCCGCGGUAAUACGUAGGGAGCAAGCGUUGAUCGGAUUUACUGGGCGUAAAGGGCGCGUAGGCGGCUAGGUAAGUCACGUGUGAAAUCUCUGGGCUUAACUCAGAACGGGCAAGUGAUACUGUUUUGCUAGAGUGCGUAAGAGGCAGCCGGAAUUCCAGGUGUAGCGGUGAAAUGCGUAGAUAUCAAGAGGAACACCUGAGGCGAAGGCGGGCCGCCUGGGCCUAACACUGACGCUCAUGCGCGAAA
rnacentral:rRNA from 1 species